rnacentral:misc_RNA from 1 species
GUCGGGAAGAGCAGUCGCGACACAUAGCCCGUAUGCUUUGCUGAGCCAUGACCGCUCCACAUGACUCUCCCGCCGCCGCCGGCAGUGAGAAGCCCGCGAUGCCGGCGUUUCGCAGCUACAUUAGUGUCGAGCUGCCCUUUGCGGUGACGCCAACCGUCACCACAUCGUCGGCGAUGCUCGGCGGCGCCGAUCACCCGAGUACGUCGGCACACGCGGGAGAGCGGCGCGAGGUGGAGGCCUUCCUGCCUGCGUCGUUUGUCGUUCCAUGUCUUCACCGCGCCACGCCACAGCAGACGACAUCUCGCGGCGAUGCGGGUGCCGCGCACGACAGCGCGGAGGAGCCGGAAGGGGAUGAUGAGGGCGACGACGAUGUGCCGAGUAGCAGCAGCGGCGGCGAUAGCGACGAGAGUGCGUCGCGCGCCUUCCCGCCCACGGUGGCGAAGCGGACAGCCGUUCAGACGGCACGCGGUGUGCGAGGCCAGCGGACGGCGCUGCGCCUCCUCACGCGCCACCACCGCCACUACUGCACCGUGCCGAUCUUCAGCGGGUGGCGCAGCACGAACUGGGGCAGCGGCAGCGACGAGGAGGAUGAAGAGGACCGUGCAAGCGGCACCGGGGUCGGCGGGGAUGGGUGCGCGGAUGCGCACGAUGCAGCGGCGGCGGCGCACCUGCAAGCUCAGAAGCGCCGCCGCCGCGAGGUAUUCGCCUCCACGGAGCCGCAGUUGCUUGUCAACGGGUACUACCGCAACGACUUGUUGCUGCGGGUGCGCCAGCGCCGCCACAUCCGCCGGUACCGCGACCCCGUCACUAACGCAGUGCUUCGCGAGGAAGUAGACAGCGCGGAGGAGGGGCAAGGGGGAUCUGCGCACGGCGACAAGGACGCGCGUGGCACGGCCAGGACGAGUGACCUGAGCGCAGAGGUUGUUGGGGUGGUCUCGCGCGAGAUGGAGCUGGCGCGUCCAGCCGACUUCACAUUUGCGCUCUUCACACCGGAGCAGCUGCAGGCGGCGCCGUCGCUCUGCGGCGCGGACGUCUUUCCGCCGCAGCACUUCUUGAGCGCGCGGGCCCCGUUCGAGGUGAGAUACGAGCCCGGCAGAGACCCGAACACCGCCGUGGCGACCGUCUCUGCGACCGCAGCACCGAGAGACGACAGGCUCGCGGGGGAUGCCAACGGUGGCUCGGCAGCUGCGCAGUACGACUUUGCGACGCUGCCGACCAUCAGCAUCAGCGCGGAGGAAUCGGCCGUGUUGCCGACGCGGCAGGCGGCGCACAACAGCUUCCUGCGCUCGAUGGGAAGCUCCCUCGAUGGCGGGCUCGACACUGACCCACCCGAGGUCCAAAUGAUGGUGCGGCUGCUGGCGGAGCGGCCGUCGUGGGUGGUGCAGGACCUGCAGGACGCCAUGCUGCAAUCGGGGCUGUGCCCGCGCGCUUACCGCAAUAAGCAGGUGAUGCAGUGCUUCACGUACCUCAUUCGCAACGGCCCGUUCAACCGCCUGCGGCUGCGACUCGGCUAUGACCCGUACGCGAGCGCCAGCAGCGUCAUGUACGAGCGCAUUACGGUGCGGCUGCUGCGCCGCUCCGACGUCGGUGUGCGGCUGCGGGACGUGUCGCGCUCGCCUCACAUUGAGAGCGUGCUGCGCCUGCUGCUCGAGCGCGACAGGGUGCGGCGCGUCGAGUACAAGAGCCUGCCAGGCCACGCGCGCCGUCAGACGCUGCUGGAGAUGCAGUGCCGCAACAUCCGCCGUGGGCAGCUCUACGUCCCGUUCCAACUCGCCGACGUGAUGGACGACCCGUACAUGGCGGACGUGGUGCGCUGCGUCGAGCCAGCGACUGCGCCGAUGGAGUUGGCGCGGCGUGGGCAGCGCCGCGGCUGGCUCAGCGAGGCGGCGUACUCGCGCGCCAUGGCCCACUACUCCGAGGCGCUAGCGGCGCUGCUGGAGGAGGAGGUCGAACCGCGACUGCGCAAGUUACAGGGCGAGGAGGACGCUGAGGCGAACGCAACGAACGCCGAUAAGGCCGCCGAGAGCAGCACCUCGUCGUCGAAGGACGAGGAGUUGGAGGACGAUGAGGACGAGGACGACUCAGCCAUGUUCUCCGUCUCCGCAGGCGACCUCUCCGAAGCGGCGGACGACGACGAGUAAGCAGUUACUUGCCACACACGGCCCGUGCGAGUCACGCCAUAGAAAAAAAAAUCAAAUUUAUGCGUAUAAACAUCGCCAUCAGAGAGCGUCACACACCUCCGUGACACCAUGCUCGUUCGCUGUCCAUCCUGCAACGCCUG